rnacentral:rRNA from 1 species
GAUGAACGCUAGCGAUAGGCUUAACACAUGCAAGUCGAGGGGCAGCAUGGUCUUAGCUUGCUAAGGCUGAUGGCGACCGGCGCACGGGUGCGUAACGCGUAUGCAACUUGCCUCACAGAGGGGGAUAACCCGUCGAAAGACGGACUAAUACCGCGUACACUCUAUGUUGGGCAUCCAAUGUAGAGGAAAUGAAAUUCGCUGUGAGAUAGGCAUGCGUCCCAUUAGCUAGUUGGUGAGGUAACGGCUCACCAAGGCGACGAUGGGUAGGGGAACUGAGAGGUUGAACCCCCACACUGGUACUGAGACACGGACCAGACUCCUACGGGAGGCAGCAGUGAGGAAUAUUGGUCAAUGGGCGAGAGCCUGAACCAGCCAAGUCGCGUGAAGGAUGACUGUCUUAUGGAUUGUAAACUUCUUUUAUACGGGAAUAACAAGAGUCACGUGUGGCUCCCUGCAUGUACCGAAUGAAUAAGCAUCGGCUAACUCCGUG